rnacentral:rRNA from 1 species
CACGUAGGGGGCGAGCGUUGUCCGGAUUUAUUGGGCGUAAAGAGCUCGUAGGCGGCUCGGUAAGUCAGGUGUGAAAACUCUAGGCUCAACCUAGAGACGCCACCUGAUACUGCUGUGGCUAGAGUCCGGUAGGGGAGCAUGGAAUUCCUGGUGUAGCGGUGAAAUGCGCAGAUAUCAGGAGGAACACCAGUGGCGAAGGCGGUGCUCUGGGCCGGAACUGACGCUGAGGAGCGAAAGCGUGGGGGGCAAACAGG